UUCGUUUCUGCUAUGGUUGAUACAUCCUUUAGUUUUAGAUAGCGUUUCUAAAAAUAAAAACGCUAUCUUUAGUUGGGUUGGAUUUUAAAUUUUAUGAUACAUAGUUUACAUAGCACUUUAGGUAAGAAACGCUAUGUAUUGAUUCCCGUAACACUUAUAACUAAAACGCUAUGUUUGAUAUUUUGAAUCCCUAAACCCUAAACAAGUUUUCAAACCCUAAACUCUAUACACAAACUUUAAAUUCUAAUACAAUAAGCUUUAUAAUACUUGAAAACUUAAACUCCAAAUCUUAAAAUUAACUUUUAAAAAAAAAAAUUAAUCUUAAGCAAUAUAUCUAUUUUCAAACUUUAACCAUAAACCCUAAACCACAUACUUCAACCUAUGUGAUAGAACACUAAACCUCAAACUUUAAAUAAAAUAUAAUUUUAUAAUAUAUAUGUAUAUAUAAUAUAUUUCUCAAAUUAUAUACAACAUAUAAAAUUUUACAUUAUACAUUUCGAAAAUAAAAAACCACUAAACAAAUAAACAACAAAAAAGAAGAAAUACUAGCAUUUAAAAUCUUUUUAUCAAAUUAGUUUUUAAAUCACAUAACCACAAAAUUCAAAUGGAAAACUUUUAGUUAAAAUUCUAUAUAAAUUUAUUUAAAUUUUGACAUUUUUAAAUAAUUAUAGAUAAAUAAAAGUAUAAUCUUUAUUAGUUGUUUUUUGGCCUUUGAUUGAUUUUGAUCCAAAGGCUCAAAAUCACUCCUUUGUGAUCUUCCACCUUUCUUCUUAUUGGUCAGUUCCUCAAAAUUUGGAUUAAUAUUUUAAACCAUUGAUUACUUGUAAUCCAACGGAUAAGAAUUAAUCUAUCUUUUCAUUUCUCUUCCUCUAUACUCUAUCGAUCUCUUUCUUUCACAAGUCUCAGAUUCUGGGUUUCACUAGCCUCAUCUCUCACCAUCUAUCACACACACACACACACACACGCUAUAGAUCUCAUCUGUUUCUUUCUUCCUUUACAGUUUCUCAUCUCUCACGAUUCUCUGUUAACAACAAAUCAACAAAAAAUCCACGGAGUGAUUUCUCUCUACAACAAAUCAACUCAGUUGCAGAGGCUGCUGACAAUUGACAGAGAUAAAAUAUGGAGGAGGACGACGGAGGACAUGGCUGAAGCGUCGAGGAUGGAUGAAUAUGGCAGAUGAGGACCUGAUCUGGCGGAGAGCUUGGCGAUGGAGGACGUGGCUGACGGCAUGGCUGAAGCGUCGAGGAUGGAGGAGGAAAGCAUAUGGCGUAGCUGACAGCUUGGUUUGAAGCGUCGAUGGUGGAGGAGUUCGUGAUGGUGGUUGACAGAUCCGGUAAAGGAGGCGGCUGUUGGAGCUCUGCGGCAAAAUAGAUGGAGGCACGAGGAGUUAGGGUUUUUAGGUUUAGCGGUAAACUGUAUAUUUUUUUUUACGUUUAGUUUUUUGUUUGUUUUUAAUUAGGUUAAUUUUGUAAACCUACUUUAAUAUGUAAACCAAAUUCAAUUAUUUAGUAAAAAUAAUUUAAUAUAUUAUAUAUUUUAACUGUA